rnacentral:rRNA from 1 species
UACGUAGGGACCGAGCGUUGUCCGGAAUCAUUGGGCGUAAAGAGCGUGUAGGCGGCUUGUUAAGUCUUGCGUGAAAUCUCGGGGCUCAACCCCGAGCGGUCGUGAGAAACUGGCAGGCUAGAGUGCGGGAGAGGAGAGUGGAAUUCCUGGUGUAGCGGUGAAAUGCGCAGAUAUCAGGAAGAACACCCGUGGCGAAGGCGGCUCUCUGGGACGGUACUGACGCUGAGACGCGAAAAGCGUGGGGGAGCGAACAGG